UCGAGAGAGAGAGAGAGCCCGAGAGCUCGGUGCUCUCAGACCCGAAGCACGACCCGACCGGCACCACUCCUUCCGGCCACGGCACAGCGGCGGACCACCAGCAUCGUCUUCGUAUCGCUGUCGCCACAAACCUCCUAUGCUUGGAUCGUACAUGCACUGAACGGAGAAGGAGACUCGACGACUGAAAGCUCCGAGACUUCUCCGAAGAGCUCUGCAAUUUCCGGCCACCGUUUGGGCCACCUGAGAUUUGCAGGUCUAGGCGAGGUUUUGGUUGUUUGACGUCGUUUCA